AUUGAACGCUGGCGGCAUGCCUAACACAUGCAAGUCGAACGAGUGGCGGACGGGUGAGUAAUGUCUGGGAAACUGCCCGAUGGAGGGGGAUAACUACUGGAAAAGGUAGCUAAUACCGCAUACCAUCGGAUGUGCCCAGAUGGGAUUAGCUAGUAGGUGGGGUAACGGCUCACCUAGGCGACGAUGCCUAGCUGGUCUGAGAGGAUGACCAGCAACACUGGGACUGAGACACGGUCCAGACUCCUACGGGAGGCAGCAGUAGGGAAUAUUGCACAAUGGGCGAAAGCCUGAUGCAGCCAUGCCGCGUGUGUGAAGAAGGCCUUCGGGUUGUAAAGUACUUUCAUCAGAGAAGCGUUACUCGCAGAAGAAGCACCGGCUAACUCCGUGCCAGCAGCCGCGGUAAUUC
rnacentral:rRNA from 1 species